CCUCAAGCCCUGUAACUUUUCUAAACUGUCUAAACUGAUGACCUACAUUGUGGAAAAGAAUGUUACCUCGGGUUGGGAAUGUGGCUUAGCAGUAGUACUUGCCUAGCAUGCACGAAGCCCUGGGUUCAAUUCCUCAGCACCACAUAAACAGAAAAGGCCGGGAGUGGCGCUGUGGCUCAAGAGGUAG